AGAAUCAACGCUGGCGGCGUGCCUAACACAUGCAAGUCGCACGAGAAAGGGGAGCAAUCCCUGAGUACAGUGGCGCACGGGUGAGUAACACGUGAAUAAUCUACCUCCGAGUGGGGAAAUAACUGAGAGAAAUCUUAGCUAAUACCGCAUAACACUUACGAGUCAAAGCAGCAAUGCGCUUGGAGAGGAGUUCGCGGCCGAUUAGUUACGUUGGCGGGGUAAUGGCCCACCAAGACGAUGAUCGGUA
rnacentral:rRNA from 1 species